AGUGAACGUUGGCGGCGUGCCUAACACAUGCAAGUCGAACGAUCCUUGAGAAGCUUGCUUCUCAAGGAGAGUGGCGAACGGGUGAGUAACACGUGAGUAAUCUGCCCUCGAGUGGGGGACAACCUCGCGAAAGCGGGGCUAAUACCGCAUAAUACUCUGCGGCAUAAGCUGUCAGAGUCAAAGCCCUUCGGGGUGCUUGAGGAUGAGCUUGCGUCCUAUUAGCUAGUUGGUGGGGUAAUGGCCUACCAAGGCGACGAUCGGUAGCCGGCCUGAGAGGGUGAUCGGCCACACUGGGACUGAGACACGGCCCAGACUCCUACGGGAGGCAGCAGUGAGGAAUCAUGCGCAAGUCGGGGGAAACCCUGACGCUGCGACGCCGCGGUGGGCGAUGAAGGCCUUCGGGUACGUAAACGCCCUGUCGAGGAGGGAAGAAAGACUCGUUACGAAAAUAUCGUUCGUAGUUUGACGGUACCUCUGGAGGAAGCCCCGGCUAACUCCGUG
rnacentral:rRNA from 1 species